rnacentral:rRNA from 1 species
GAUGAACGCUGGCGGCGUGCCUAACACAUGCAAGUCGAGCGAACAGACGAUGAGCUUGCGCCUCUAACGUUAGCGGCGGACGGGUGAGUAACACGUGGAUAACCUACCUAUAUUACUGGGAUAACUUCGGGAAACCGGAGCUAAUACCGGAUAAUAUAUUGAACCGCAUGGUUCAAUAGUGAAAUACGGUUUUGCUGUCACUUAUAGAUGGUUCCGGGCCGCAUUAGCUAGUUGGUAAGGUAACGGCUUACCAAGGCAACGAUGCGUAUCCGACCUGAGAGGGUGAUCGGCCACACUGGAACUGAGACACGGUCCAGACUCCUACGGGAGGCAGCAGUAGGGAAUCUUACGCAAUGGGCGCAAGCCUGACGGAGCCACGCCGCGUGAGUGAUGAAGGUCUUCGGAUCGUAAAGCUCUGUUAUUAGGGAAGAACAACUGUGUAAGUAACUAUGCACGUCUUGACGGUACCUAAUCAAAAAGCACCGGCUAACUACGUG